rnacentral:tRNA from 1 species
GGGCAGUUAGCUCAGCGGUAGAGCGCCGUCCUCACACGACGGAUGUCAUAGGUUCAAAUCCUAUACUGCCCA